rnacentral:lncRNA from 1 species
AGACACGGAGUUUCCGUGCCAGAGGAGCGGGUCCACGCGGACAGGCAGUUCCAGCUCCGGGACAUACUUUAUUCAGCUGGGUGCUGAAAAAGAAUCUUGGAAAUUAGGAAACUGAAUGAGGCCUCAUUUCACACUCAGAAUGUGGGUUGCAAUAGUCACUUCCUCUGCUGCUGGGAAAGAAAGAAUUAUACUACCUUUUGAAUUUUGGAUUAAGGAGAGAGGUGUUGGCUUGUCAAACUACCAUGUAUUCCUCAAGACAUAUUUUUGUGGCUUUAUAAAAUUCAAUAUAUAUGUCUAAAUUCAAAAAUAUUUUGUUGCAAUCUGGCCCUUGGACAAACUGAGGCCCUAGCAACUGAUGUUUAUGGCUUUCCGUAGAACCUUUCAGAUAAAAUUUACACAGCAUUUUACUGCAGCUAUUUCACACAAAGCAGAGGAUUUUGCCACAAAACUGAAAGAAAAAAGAAACUGCAUUCUUAAAUUUUUCAUAAAUCAAAAGGUAUAAAAAUAUCUACCUAAACGAUAAAGGAGAUGAGAAACCCCACCCAUGAUGGGAAGAAAGCCUAUUUCAGUUUUGCCUUUACUUCAAGUUCUUUUUUCCAUAUCUGGAAUGCAAUCAGAAUUUUAAUCUUGCCUUGGGUUCCUCCUGGAUUUGGGGAGAAGACAAAACCUGAAAAUCUCUAAUCUGCAUGUGUUCAGCUGCGUAUCUUCUGGAUACGGAAGGAUCACACUGCACAGAGUGCUGGACUUGCAGGAGCCCCGCUUCUCAACCUCCAUCGCUUUAUGAAUGAAUUCACCAGAAAGAAAAGGAAGAAUCAACACUUUCAGAGAUGGAGCCUGUUGAGCCACAGUACCAACUAGUCAAUGCUGAAUCGACUUCUCCCUUUCUACAUUGCCUGAGAGAAGUCAUUGGGGAAUACUCUAGAGUCAAGGGAUUGGAUUGUGGAUUGCAUUGGUGGUUUUCCUCAGUUUCCUCAUCUUCUCCACAAGUUUCUACAUAUCGAAUGCAGAGCAGCCCUUCUUCAAAGGACCUCCUACGGAAGCUGCUAAGGAACUCAGUCUGUAGCUCUGCGUGGAGCCAUGUGUAAACACUGAACUGAGACCUGCCACCUCCUACUACCUAAGGGCCCAUUUUCAUCUGAUAUCAUCCCCCAGAAACAAACUCAUGAUGACUUCCAUGUUUUUUUUAGAUUAGAUACAUGGAGAAUUUUCCUUUCCCUUAGAAUUAAAAUCCUGCAUUCUAAUUUUCAGUAAGCUUUUUUAUUUCUGAAUAAUUUUAAAUUUAAAGAGAAGUUGCAAAGAUAGUAUAGAAUGUUCCCUUAUACCUGUUUUUAUUUAGAGUGAUGUUCCCAGGAGAAAUGAUAAUGCAGCAAUGGACAAGAACAGGAACAAGAGACAGUCUUACCAUCUUCUUACAAUUUAUAGAUGGGACAGUGGAAAGAGAAGCCACAUCGGGGUUGGGCAUGCAGAGACCUGGUCCUAAAUCUGUGUGACUUUUGCGAAAUCCUUUUGCCUCACAGAGCUCUAGGUUCUUAUCUGUCAAACAGGAACCAGACCAUCAGAUCCGUAGAGAUCCAACCAAUGAAGGAGACUUCGAAAACUUCACAUUGCCGUGUCAAUGUGAGGUUGCUGGAUGGUUAUGACAAGAAAUCACAUUAAAUUCACUGGGGUAACAUUGUUCAUGAAACGGGAUAAUGUGUUUCAGCGAUGAACCACCCAUGGCCUUACUACAGACAUAUUUCCACUUUGAAAAUGUGUGUGAGUGUACAUGUCUGUGUGUGAGGCAGAGAUUAGAAAGUGUAAAUGUGUGCGUUUUCAUUUUACACAUCUUACAUUUUCCUUUAAUUUGUUUGAAAGCCUGUUUUGUUUGUGGCUUCCAUUCCUGGAAGUCCCAUGAGUUGUUAGUGGUGAAGAUGGAACAGAUGUGUCCAACCCGGGGGACUCCUGCCCUCAGGGACUGAGCAGCUGCAAACCUCUCUCUCAUCUGAUUCCACUGUUUCUUCCACAUGUACACAUCAUGAGAAAUAUUGUUCAAUCAAUAUCUUCCCUUAAAUCAACUCAUAUGCUUAUUUACAUGAAUUUACCUAAAACAGAAACUUGAUAUCACUUCUGUAAAUGAAAAAAUUAAACUUUCUGGCUUUAAAUAAAGCAUAAC